GACGAACGCUGGCGGCGUGCUUAACACAUGCAAGUCGAACGGAAAGGCCCUGCUUUUGUGGGGUGCUCGAGUGGCGAACGGGUGAGUAACACGUGUGUAACCUGCCCUUGACUUUGGGAUAACUCCAGGAAACUGGGGCUAAUACCGGAUAGGAGCUCCUGCUGCGUGGUGGGGGUUGGAAAGAUUCGGCGGUUGGGGAUGGACUCGAGGCUUAUCAGCUUGUUGGGGGGGUAGUGGCUUACCAGGGGUUUGACGGGUAGGCGGCCUGGGAGGGUGACCGGCGACCUUGGGCCUGAGGUACGCCCCAGACGGCUACGGGAGGCAGCAGGGGGGAACAUUACGCAAUGGGCGGAAGCCUGAUGCAGAAGCGCCGCGUGCGGGAUGACGGCCUUCGGGUUGUAAACAGAUUUCGCCUGUGACGAAGCGUGAGUGACGGUAAUGGGUAAAGAAGCACCGGCUAACUACGUG
rnacentral:rRNA from 1 species